GCCACAUUGGUUCCUAGCCGUGACCAGAAAACCCUAAUAUCUUAAAUUUUCCCAAUUCUUCCUUCUCUAGUUCUCCACUGAUUGCAUCUCUUAGAUUCAUGUCUUUUACUUCUCUUCUCAUUUCAUUUCCACUGUGUCUGUUUGAUUCUACAUUCUCUUCUCUUGCACCGCAGUGUUUUCACAAUGCUUCAACUUCGAUGCUGAGAAACAGAGACAAUCAAGGUGGAAACUUCACUGCAUCCUGAGCUACGAGGUACAUUGUUUAUCUAAUUGGUUUGGAUACUUUUCAGUUUUCAUUCUCUACCGCAAAUGUGUUCAACUUUGCAUGAUGCCAUUGCUUUAGAAGCAUGGAAUUCUAAUCUGUAAAUAGUAGUAACCAUGGAUGCUUUAGGAUCAUUAUCAUUUGCAUAUUGUUGCUGUUUAUUUUCUUAGAUGUUAAUAUUGUUGUGGCAUAGUGGGGAACCAAUGUAGUUAAUUGCGGAUAGCCAAAAAUCCGCGAUGUUAUUUAGAGGAUAAAGUCAUGGACAAAUUACUUAUGUUAUACACACUUGCAUUCAUGUAACCUGAAUUUUAAUUAUCUUUCUGCUUGUUUAGCUAGUUGCCCAAGAAUCAAAAUUUACCAUGUCAAAAUCAGACCUGUUUAUCUCAAUUUAUUUGUCCGAUGUUGUUCUGUUUCCAACCAGUGAAGUACAUUUCAAACCAAUAAGAGCACUACAUGAACUUCUACCCAUUACAGAUGAAGUAUUGAUUCAAGCAAGCUCUACCUUACUCAGUGAGACAAAUUUCCAUACACAAAUCUCGAACUUCUCUGCAUAAGUCACCACAUUUAGAAUUGUGUAUGCCUUUACUAUCGGUGCUAGGAAUUCCACGAACUGGGAAACGAAAUGCUUCUAUGAGGAGAGAUCCAAAGUGGUAGUUCUUCAUGGCCAUUGACGCAUCUGCAAUUCCGC
rnacentral:lncRNA from 1 species